AGCCAUGCGGGUGCUAUACAUGCAGUCGAGCGGACAGAAGGGAGCUUGCUCCCGGAUGUUAGCGGCGGACGGGUGAGUAACACGUGGGUAACCUGCCUGUAAGACUGGGAUAACUCCGGGAAACCGGAGCUAAUACCGGAUAGUUCCUUGAACCGCAUGGUUCAAGGAUGAAAGACGGUUUCGGCUGUCACUUACAGAUGGACCCGCGGCGCAUUAGCUAGUUGGUGAGGUAACGGCUCACCAAGGCGACGAUGCGUAGCCGACCUGAGAGGGUGAUCGGCCACACUGGGACUGAGACACGGCCCAGACUCCUACGGGAGGCAGCAGUAGGGAAUCUUCCGCAAUGGACGAAAGUCUGACGGAGCAACGCCGCGUGAGUGAUGAAGGUUUUCGGAUCGUAAAGCUCUGUUGUUAGGGAAGAACAAGUGCAAGAGUAACUGCUUGCACCUUGACGGUACCUAACCAGAAAGCCACGGCUAACUACGUGCCAGCAGCCGCGGUAAUACGUAGGUGGCAAGCGUUGUCCGGAAUUAUUGGGCGUAAAGGGCUCGCAGGCGGUUUCUUAAGUCUGAUGUGAAAGCCCCCGGCUCAACCGGGGAGGGUCAUUGGAAACUGGGAAACUUGAGUGCAGAAGAGGAGAGUGGAAUUCCACGUGUAGCGGUGAAAUGCGUAGAGAUGUGGAGGAACACCAGUGGCGAAGGCGACUCUCUGGUCUGUAACUGACGCUGAGGAGCGAAAGCGUGGGGAGCGAACAGGAUUAGAUACCCUGGUAGUCCACGCCGUAAACGAUGAGUGCUAAGUGUUAGGGGUUUCCGCCCCUUAGUGCUGCAGCUAACGCAUUAAGCACUCCGCCUGGGGAGUACGGUCGCAAGACUGAAACUCAAAGGAAUUGACGGGGGCCCGCACAAGCGGUGGAGCAUGUGGUUUAAUUCGAAGCAACGCGAAGAACCUUACCAGUCUUGACAUCCUCUGACAACCCUAGAGAUAGGGCUUUCCCUUCGGGGACAGAGUGACAGUGUGCAUGAUUGUCGUCAGCU
rnacentral:rRNA from 1 species